rnacentral:rRNA from 1 species
AUGAACGCUGGCGGCGUGCCUAAUACAUGCACGUCGAGCGAACGGACGAGAAGCUUGCUUUUCUGAUGUUAGCGGCGGACGGGUGAGUAACACGUGGAUAACCUACCUAUAAGACUGGGAUAACUUCGGGAAACCGGAGCUAAUACCGGAUAAUAUUUUGAACCGCAUGGUUCAAAAGUGAAAGACGGUCUUGCUGUCACUUAUAGAUGGAUCCGCGCUGCAUUAGCUAGUUGGUAAGGUAACGGCUUACCAAGGCAACGAUGCAUAGCCGACCUGAGAGGGUGAUCGGCCACACUGGAACUGAGACACGGUCCAGACUCCUACGGGAGGCAGCAGUAGGGAAUCUUCCGCAAUGGGCGAAAGCCUGACGGAGCAACGCCGCGUGAGUGAUGAAGGUCUUCGGAUCGUAAAACUCUGUUAUUAGGGAAGAACAUAUGUGUAAGUAACUGUGCACACCUUGACGGUACCUAAUCAGAAAGCCACGGCUAACUACGUG